rnacentral:tRNA from 1 species
GAGGGGUAUGGGGCUGGUGCCCCGUCUGGUCUGCAAAACCAGUAUUACGGUAACAAGAUUUGCCGUGGUGGGUUCGAUUCCCACUACUCCUC